CCCUGGCUACUGUCUAUGUUCACUCAAGGCUGUGGGGCUAGACAAUCAGCAGGUGGCAAGCCAUCCUAAGCCUGUAUCUUUCCCUUCAGGGCAGGAAAUGAUAUUCCCCAUUCACCAGCUGAGCUGGCACUCAAGCCACAAGACAGAGUCCUUCCCAUUCUUCCCUGCUCUUUCCACUCAAGUCAGAGGAGCCUCACCACACAGCAGCUGGAGAGGGUCUCCACAGCAGAACACUGCGGCUGGAGGUGAGGAAGGAGUGGCGUAA
rnacentral:lncRNA from 1 species